rnacentral:sRNA from 12 species
UGGGCUGGUCGAAAGAUCCUGGUCCACCGAACAGCGGGGAAUUUCUCC